rnacentral:rRNA from 1 species
UACGUAGGGUGCUAGCGUUGUCCGGAUUUAUUGGGCGUAAAGAGCUCGUAGGCGGUCUGUCGCGUCGGCUGUGAAAACCCGGAGCUCAACUCCGGGCCUGCAGUCGAUACGGGCAGACUGGAGUUCGGCAGGGGAGACUGGAAUUCCUGGUGUAGCGGUGAAAUGCGCAGAUAUCAGGAGGAACACCGGUGGCGAAGGCGGGUCUCUGGGCCGAUACUGACGCUGAGGAGCGAAAGCGUGGGGAGCGAACAGG